UAUAGGACCGCCGUAAUUGAUUAAUAGGGACAGUCGGGGCAUCAGUAUCAACUGUCAGAGGUGAAUCUUGAUCAGUUGAAGACCUAACUACUGCGAAAGCAUUGCAAGGAUGUUUUCAUUAAUCAGGAACGAAGUUAGGGGAUCGAAGACGAUCAGAUACCGUCGUAGUCUUAACCAUAAACUAUGCCGACUAGGGAUCGGACGGUGUUAUUCAUGACCCGUUCGGCACCUUACGAGAAAUCAAAGUGCUUGGGCUCCAGGGGGAAGUAUGGUCGCAAGGGCUGAAACUUAAAGAAAUUGACGGAAGGGCACCACCAGGGGGGGAGCCUGCGGCUUAAUUUGACUCAACACGGGGAAACUCACCAGGUCCAGACACAAUAAGGAUUGACAGAUUGAGAGCUCUUUCUUGAUUUUGUGGGUGGUGGUGCAUGGCCGUUCUUAGUUGGUGGGGUGACUUGUCUGCUUAAUUGCGAUAACGAACGAGACCUUAACCUGCUAAAUAGCCCGCAUUGCUCCGGCAGUGCGCUGGCUUCUUAGAGGGACUUUCGGCUCAAGCCGAAGGAAGUUUGAGGCAAUAACAGGUCUGUGAUGCCCUUAGAUGUUCUGGGCCCGCACGCGCGCUACACUGACGGGGUCAGCGAGUUCCUUGGCCGAAAGGCCCGGGUAAUCUUGUUAGCCCCCGUCGUGCUGGGGAUAGAGCAUUGCAAUUAUUGCUCUUCAACGAGGAAUCCCUAGUAAGCGCAAGUCAUCAGCUUGCGUUGAUUACGUCCCUGCCCUUUGCACUCACCGCCCGUC
rnacentral:rRNA from 1 species